AGCCCUAGAUAAUAUCUAAGGUGUAACCUGCCCAAUGGUUUUUAAUUAAGAAUUAAUAAAAGUUAUUUAAAGAAAUUUAAAGGACGCAGUAACCUUGACUGUGAUAAUGUAGCAUAAUCACUCGCCAUUUAAUUGAUGGAUAGUAUGAAUGGUUGAACGAAUAUUCCACUGUCUUAAGAAGAAAUACCAAGAAAUUGAAAUAAUAGUUAAGAUGCUAUUUAAAAUUGUAAGACGAAAAGACCCUAUAGAGCUUAACUAUAACCUCUUGUACAAAUUAGAAAAUAAAUUUAAAGUUUAAAGAGGUUGGUAGUUUAGUUGGGGCGACUGUCUUCUAAAAUCAACGAAGACAAGCAAAGUAAAUAAAAAACUUAUUGUAUAAUAUAUAUAUUUAACAAUUACAAAAGUAGGCUAUAAUGACCCGUUGUGCAUUUAUAAAAAUCACAACGAUCAAUAAAUAAAAGCUACCUUAGGGAUAACAGGAUAAUUUUAUUUUAGAGAUCAUAUCGAAGAUAAAGUUUGUCACCUCUAUGUUGAAUUAAGAUAUCCCGACAGUGCAGAAGUUGUCAAAGGUAGGUCUGUUCGACCUUUAAAAUCUUA
rnacentral:rRNA from 1 species